rnacentral:misc_RNA from 1 species
GAUGAAGAACGCAGCGAAAUGCGAUAAGUAAUGUGAAUUGCAGAGUUCAGUGAAUCAUCGAAUCUUUGAACGCACAUUGCGCCCGUCAGUAUUCUGGCGGGCAUGCCUGUUCGAGCGUCAUUACGCCCCUCAAGUCCCCUGUGGACUUGGUGUUGGGGAUCGGCGAGGCUGGUUUUCCAGCACAGCCGUCCCUUAAAUUAAUUGGCGGUCUCGCCGUGGCCCUCCUCUGCGCAGUAGUAAAACACUCGCAACAGGAGCCCGGCGCGGUCCACUGCCGUAAAACCCCCCAACUUUUUAUAGUUGACCUCGAAUCAGGUAGGACUACCCGCUGAACUUAAGCAUAUCAAUAAGCGGAGGA